AAUAGAUACCCAGGUAGUCCACGCCGUAAACGGCGGGCACUAGGUGUGGGCGACAUUCCACGUCGUCCGUGCCGCAGCUAACGCAUUAAGUGCCCCGCCUGGGGAGUACGGCCGCAAGGCUAAAACUCAAAGGAAUUGACGGGGGCCCGCACAAGCGGCGGAGCAUGUGGCUUAAUUCGACGCAACGCGAAGAACCUUACCAAGGCUUGACAUACACCGGAAACGUCCAGAGAUGGGCGCCCCCUUGUGGUCGGUGUACAGGUGGUGCAUGGCUGUCGUCAGCUCGUGCCGUGAGAUGUUGGGUUAAGUCCCGCAACGAGCGCAACCCUUGUCCCGUGUUGCCAGCAGGCCCUUGUGGUGCUGGGGACUCACGGGGAGACCGCCGGGGUCAACUCGGAGGAAGGUGGGGACGACGUCAAGUCAUCAUGCCCCUUAUGUCUUGGGCUGCACACGUGCUACAAUGGCCGGUACAAUGAGCUGCGAUACCGCGAGGUGGAGCGAAUCUCAAAAAGCCGGUCUCAGUUCGGAUUGGGGU
rnacentral:rRNA from 1 species